GAGACACCCAUAUGGAGUAGAAUUUGCUUCAGUGGGGCUUUGGUGCUCACUGAGUCUACCCCUUGAGUGUGUCACU
rfam:Myotis davidii contig94408, whole genome shotgun sequence.